rnacentral:rRNA from 1 species
CUACCAUGCAAGUCGAGCGGUAACACAGGGAGCUUGCUCCCGGGUGACGAGCGGCGGACGGGUGAGUAAUGUCUGGGAAACUGCCUGAUGGAGGGGGAUAACUACUGGAAACGGUAGCUAAUACCGCAUAACGUCGCAAGACCAAAGAGGGGGACCUUCGGGCCUCUUGCCAUCACAUGUGCCCACAUGGGAUUAGCUAGUAGGUGGGGUAAUGGCUCACCUAGGCGACAAUCCCUAUCUGGUCUGAGAGGAUGACCAGCCACACUGGAACUGAGACACGGUCCAGACUCCUACGGGAGGCAGCAGUGGGGAAUAUUGCACAAUGGGCGCAAGCCUGAUGCACCCAUGCCGCGUGUAUGAAAAAGGCCUUCGGGUUGUAAAGUACUUUCACCGGGGAGGAAGGUGUUGAGGUUAAUAACCUCACCAAUUGACGUUACCCGCAGAAAAAACACCGGCUAACUCCGUGCCACCAGCCGCGGUAAUACGGAGGGUGCAAGCGUUAAUCGGAAUUACUGGGCGUAAAGCGCACGCAGGCGGUCUGUCAAGUCGGAUGUGAAAUCCCCGGGCUCAACCUGGGAACUGCAUUCUAAACUGGCAGGCUAUAGUCUUGUAGAGGGGGGUAGAAUUCCAGGUGUAGCGGUGAAAUGCGUAUAGAUCUGGAGGAAUACCGGUGGCGAAGGCGGCCCCCUGGACAAAGACUGACGCUCACGUGCGAAAGCGUGUGGAGCAAACAGGAUUAUAUACCCUGGUAGUCCACGCCGUAAACGAUGUCUACUUGUAGGUUGUGCCCUUGAGGCGUGGCUUCCGGAGCUAACGCGUUAAGUCGACCGCCUGGG